AACGUAGGAGGCGAGCGUUAUCCGGAUUUACUGGGCGUAAAGCGCACGCAGGCGGCUCCGUGAGUCGGAUGUGAAAGCUCCUGGCUUAACUGGGAGAGGCCAUUCGAUACUGCGGGGCUUGAGGUUGGGAGAGGGGUGUGGAAUUCCCGGUGUAGUGGUGGAAUGCGUAGAUAUCGGGAGGAACACCUGUGGCGAAAGCGACACCCUGGCCCACACCUGACGCUGAGGUGCGAAAGCGUGGGGAGCAAACAGG
rnacentral:rRNA from 1 species